UUGAAGAAAAAGUGUGAGAUUUCAAGGGAUUAAGCUAAUAAAGGUGGUGAGCCCUUUAACAAGGGUAAAGAGAUUGUGCCCGAAGAUCGAGAAUAGAAGGAUAUCGAACUCCUAGUACUGCAUCAGGAUAGUCAGUAAAUAGCUCAUUUCAUCGAGGACUACAAUUGGAUUGGCAUCCUCAAAAUAUGUAGGUUCAAUUCUUUUGACACUUUUAGUCGUUCGUGGGCCCACGAGUCACUGCAAAUUUAAUUUUAUACUUUGGUUAUCUAUAUUACAAUAUAUA